GAGUUUAGCUCAGCUGGUUCAGAGCGCCUGCCUUACAAGCAGGAGGUCAUUGGUUCGAGCCCAAUAACUCC
rnacentral:tRNA from 1 species